rnacentral:rRNA from 1 species
AUUGAACGCUGGCGGCAGGCUUAACACAUGCAAGUCGAGCGGAGUGAUGGUGCUUGCACUAUCACUUAGCGGCGGACGGGUGAGUAAUGCUUAGGAAUCUGCCUAUUAGUGGGGGACAACAUCUCGAAAGGGAUGCUAAUACCGCAUACGUCCUACGGGAGAAAGCAGGGGAUCUUUAUGACCUUGCGCUAAUAGAUGAGCCUAAGUCGGAUUAGCUAGUUGGUGGGGUAAAGGCCUACCUAGGCGACGAUCUGUAGCGGGUCUGAGAGGAUGAUCCGCCACACUGGGACUGAGACACGGCCCAGACUCCUACGGGAGGCAGCAGCGGGGAAUAUUGGACAAUGGGGGGAACCCUGAUCCAGCCAUGCCGCGUGUGUGGAGAAGGCCUUAUGGUUGUAAAGCACUUUAAGCGAGGAGGAGGCUUACCUAGUUAAUACCUGGGAUAAGUGGACGUUACUCGCAGAAUAAGCACCGGCUAACUCUGUGCCAGCCGCCGCAGUAA